AGAAAAUAGAUACCCGGGUAGUCCCAGCCGUAAACGAUGCUCGCUAGGUGUCAGGCAUGGCGCGACCGUGUCUGGUGCCGCAGGGAAGCCGUGAAGCGAGCCACCUGGGAAGUACGGCCGCAAGGCUGAAACUUAAAGGAAUUGGCGGGGGAGCACAACAACGGGUGGAGCCUGCGGUUUAAUUGGACUCAACGCCGGACAACUCACCGGGGGCGACAGCAAUAUGUAGGCCAGGCUGAAGACCUUGCCUGAAUCGCUGAGAGGAGGUGCAUGGCCGUCGCCAGUUCGUACUGUGAAGCAUCCUGUUAAGUCAGGCAACGAGCGAGACCCGUGCCCACUGUUACCAGCAUGUCCUCCGGGACGAUGGGUACUCUGUGGGGACCGCCGAUGUUAAAUCGGAGGAAGGUGCGGGCCACGGUAGGUCAGUAUGCCCCGGAAUCUCCCGGGGUCUACACGCGGGCUACAAUGGAUGGGACAAUGGGUCCCU
rnacentral:rRNA from 1 species